AUCAACGCUGGCGGCGCGCUUAACACAUGCAAGUCGCACGAGAAAGUGGAGCAAUCCAUGAGUACAGUGGCGUACGGGUGAGUAACACGUGGAUCAUCUACCUUCUAGUGGGGAAUACCUCCGGGAAACUGGAGACAAUACCGCAUAAGCUCGUAAGAGGAAAGCAGCAAUGCGCUGGAAGAGGAGUCCGCGGCUGAUUAGCUAGUUGGCGGGGUAACGGCCCACCAAGGCGAAGAUCGGUAGCCGGCCUGAGAGGGCACACGGCCACACUGGCACUGAAACACGGGCCAGACUCCUACGGGAGGCAGCAGUGGGGAAUCUUGCACAAUGGAGGAAACUCUGAUGCAGCGAGGCCGCGUGAGCGAUGAAGCCCUUCGGGGUGUAAAGCUCUUUCGACGGGAACGAUGAUGACGGUACCCGAAGAAGAAGCUGCGGCCAACUACGUGCCAGCAGCCGCGGGUAAUACGUAGGCAGCAAGCGUUGUUCGGAAUUACUGGGCGUAAAGAGUGUGUAGGCGGUGCUCCAAGUCUGUUGUGAAAUCUCCCGGCUUAACUGGGAGGGUGCGGCGGAAACUGGGGUGCUAGAGGAUGGGAGAGGUAAGCGGAAUUCCUGGUGUAGCGGGUGAAAUGCGUAGAUAUCAGGAGGAACACCUGUUGGUGUAGACAGCUUACUGGACCAUUUCUGACGCUGAGACACGAAAGCGUGGGUAGCAAACAGGAUUAGAUACCCUGGUAGUCCACGCCCUAAACGAUGCAUACUUGGUGUGAGCGAUUCAUUUCGUUCGUGCCGGAGCUAACGCGUUAAGUAUGCCGCCUGGGGAGUACGGUCGCAAGGCUGAAACUCAAAGGAAUUGACGGGGGCCCGCACAAGCGGUGGAGCAUGUGGUUCAAUUCGACGCAACGCGAAGAACCUUACCUGGGCUCGAACGGCUAUGGACCAUUCCUGGAAACAGGGACUUCUCGCAAGAGACUGUAGUCGAGGUGCUGCAUGGCUGUCGUCAGCUCGUGUCGUGAGUCGUUGGGUUAAGUCCCCGCAACGAGCGCAAACCCUUGUCCUGUGUUGCCAUCAUUUAGUUGGGCACUCUCAGGAGACCGCCAGCGAUAAGCUGGAGGAAGGUGGGGAUGAUGUCAAGUCAUCAUGGCCUUUAUGUCCAGGGCUACACACGUGCUACAAUGGCCGGUACAAAAGCGCCGCAAAACUCGCGAGAGGGAGCUAAUCGCAAAAAAAACCGGUCUCAGUUCGGAUCGCAGGCUGCAACUCGCCUGCGUGAAGCUGGAAUCGCUAGUAAUGCCGUAUCAGAACGAUGGCGUGAAUACGUUCCCGGGCCUUGUACACACCGCCCGUCACAUCACGAAAGUGGAUUGUACUAGAAGUCCUAAUCAAACAGGCCCAAGGUAUGAUUCAUGAUUGGGGUG
rnacentral:rRNA from 1 species